rnacentral:rRNA from 1 species
GUGGGGAAUAUUGGACAAUGGGCGCAAGCCUGAUCCAGCCAUGCCGCGUGAGUGAUGAAGGCCUUAGGGUUGUAAAGCUCUUUCACCGAUGAAGAUAAUGACGGUAGUCGGAGAAGAAGCCCCGGCUAACUUCGUGCCAGCAGCCGCGGUAAUACGAAGGGGGCUAGCGUUGUUCGGAUUUACUGGGCGUAAAGCGCACGUAGGCGGUUUGUUAAGUCAGGGGUGAAAUCCCGGAGCUCAACUCCGGAACUGCCUUUGAUACUGGCAAGCUAGAGUGCGGAAGAGGUAAGUGGAACUCCUAGUGUAGAGGUGGAAUUCGUAGAUAUUAGGAAGAACACCAGUGGCGAAGGCGGCUUACUGGUCCGGAACUGACGCUGAGGUGCGAAAGCGUGGGGAGCAAACAGGAUUAGAUACCCUAGUAGUCC